AACGAACGCUGGCGGCAGGCCUAACACAUGCAAGUCGAGCGGACCUUUCGGGGUCAGCGGCGGACGGGUGAGUAACGCGUGGGAAUAUGCCCUUCUCUACGGAAUAGUCCUGGGAAACUGGGGGUAAUACCGUAUACGCCCUUUGGGGGAAAGAUUUAUCGGGGAAGGAUUAGCCCGCGUUGGAUUAGGUAGUUGGUGGGGUAAUGGCCUACCAAGCCGACGAUCCAUAGCUGGUUUGAGAGGAUGAUCAGCCACACUGGGACUGAGACACGGCCCAGACUCCUACGGGAGGCAGCAGUGGGGAAUCUUAGACAAUGGGGCCAACCCUGAUCUAGCCAUGCCGCGUGAGUGAUGAAGGCCUUAGGGUUGUAAAGCUCUUUCAGCUGGGAAGAUAAUGACGGUACCAGCAGAAGAAGCCCCGGCUAACUCCGUG
rnacentral:rRNA from 1 species